GCCCACCGUUGCCGAUGGACGGCGAGCCGCUUUACGAGCGGCUCGCCGAGCAUUACCGCCGCAUCAUCGCGGCCGGCACGCU
rnacentral:tRNA from 1 species